UAUCAGCCAUCGUACUCAAUACAUCAGAUCCUCCCUUAUCUCCCUUCUUGUUCUUCCACUGCGGGUAAUCUCGUUUGAAGUGCCCGAUCUCGUUGCACUUGUAGCACGUGACUUCUUUCUUUCUCCUACUCUUCCGAGACUUUGACCAUCCCCUUGACUUGCCUCUUUUCCUUCCUCUUCCAGAUCUCUCUCCCACAGCCAAGCCCUCCUGGGGAACACCUUCCUUGGUCAACUUCUCUUGC
rnacentral:lncRNA from 1 species